GAGUUUGAUCCUGGCUCAGGACGAACGCUGGCGGCGCGCCUAACACAUGCAAGUCGAACGAGCGAGAGAGAGCUUGCUUUCUCAAGCGAGUGGCGAACGGGUGAGUAACGCGUGAGGAACCUGCCUCAAAGAGGGGGACAACAGUUGGAAACGACUGCUAAUACCGCAUAAGCCCACAGCUCGGCAUCGAGCAGAGGGAAAAGGAGCAAUCCGCUUUGAGAUGGCCUCGCGUCCGAUUAGCUAGUUGGUGAGGUAAUGGCCCACCAAGGCGACGAUCGGUAGCCGGACUGAGAGGUUGAACGGCCACAUUGGGACUGAGACACGGCCCAGACUCCUACGGGAGGCAGCAGUGGGGAAUAUUGCACAAUGGGGGAAACCCUGAUGCAGCGACGCCGCGUGGAGGAAGAAGGUCUUCGGAUUGUAAACUCCUGUUGUUGAGGAAGAUAAUGACGGUACUCAACAAGGAAGUGACGGCUAACUACGUGCCAGCAGCCGCGGUAAAACGUAGGUCACAAGCGUUGUCCGGAAUUACUGGGUGUAAAGGGAGCGCAGGCGGGAAGACAAGUUGGAAGUGAAAUCUAUGGGCUCAACCCAUAAACUGCUUUCAAAACUGUUUUUCUUGAGUAGUGCAGAGGUAGGCGGAAUUCCCGGUGUAGCGGUGGAAUGCGUAGAUAUCGGGAGGAACACCAGUGGCGAAGGCGGCCUACUGGGCACCAACUGACGCUGAGGCUCGAAAGUGUGGGUAGCAAACAGGAUUAGAUACGCUGGUAGUCCACACCGUAAACGAUGAUUACUAGGUGUUGGAGGAUUGACCCCUUCAGUGCCGCAGUUAACACAAUAAGUAAUCCACCUGGGGAGUACGACCGCAAGGUUGAAACUCAAAGGAAUUGACGGGGGCCCGCACAAGCAGUGGAGUAUGUGGUUUAAUUCGACGCAACGCGAAGAACCUUACCAAGUCUUGACAUCCUGCGACGCACAUAGAAAUAUGUGUUUCCUUCGGGACGCAGAGACUGGUGGUGCAUGGUUGUCGUCAGCUCGUGUCGUGAGAUGUUGGGUUAAGUCCCGCAACGAGCGCAACCCUUACUGUCAGUUACUACGCAAGAGGACUCUGGCAGGACUGCCGUUGACAAAACGGAGGAAGGUGGGGAUGACGUCAAAUCAUCAUGCCCUUUAUGACUUGGGCUGCACACGUACUACAAUGGCGUUAAACAAAGAGAAGCAAGACCGCGAGGUGGAGCAAAACUCAGAAACAACGUCCCAGUUCGGACUGCAGGCUGCAACUCGCCUGCACGAAGUCGGAAUUGCUAGUAAUCGUGGAUCAGCAUGCCACGGUGAAUACGUUCCCGGGCCUUGACACACCGCCCGUC
rnacentral:rRNA from 1 species